rnacentral:rRNA from 1 species
GGCUCAGGAUGAACGCUAGCGGCAGGCUUAACACAUGCAAGUCGAGGGGCAGCGAGGGUAGCAAUAUCUGUCGGCGACCGGCGCACGGGUGAGUAACGCGUAUGCAACCUUCCUUUAACUGGGGCAUAGCUCGUCGAAAGACGGAUUAAUACCCCAUAAUGAUAUUGAAAGGCAUCUUUUGAUAUUUAAAGCUCCGGCGGUUAAAGAUGGGCAUGCGUGUCAUUAGCUAGUUGGUGAGGUAACGGCUCACCAAGGCAACGAUGACUAGGGGGUCUGAGAGGAUGAUCCCCCACACUGGUACUGAGACACGGACCAGACUCCUACGGGAGGCAGCAGUGAGGAAUAUUGGUCAAUGGGCGCAAGCCUGAACCAGCCAUGCCGCGUGAAGGAUGAAGGUGCUAUGCAUUGUAAACUUCUUUUGUACGGGACGAAACUACAUUACGUGUAAUGUACUGACGGUACCGUGCGAAUAAGCAACGGCUAACUCCGUGCCAGCAGCCGCGGUAAUACGGAGGUUGCAAGCGUUAUCCGGAUUUAUUGGGUUUAAAGGGUGCGUAGGCGGAAUGGUAAGUCAGUGGUGAAAUCCUGUAGCUUAACUACAGAACUGCCAUUGAUACUGUCAUUCUUGAGUGUAGUUGAGGUAGGCGGAAUGUGUAAUGUAGCGGUGAAAUGCUUAGAUAUUACACAGAACUCCAAUUGCGUAGGCAGCUUACUAAACUAAAACUGACGCUGAGGCACGAAAGCGUGGGGAGCAAACAGGAUUAGAUACCCUGGUAGUCCACGCUGUAAACGAUGAUUACUCGAUGUGUGCAAUAUAUCGUACGCGUCUAAGCAAAAGCAUUAAGUAAUCCACCUG